rnacentral:rRNA from 1 species
AGUGAACGCUGGCGGUAGGCCUAACACAUGCAAGUCGAACGGCAGCACAGUAAGAGCUUGCUCUUACGGGUGGCGAGUGGCGGACGGGUGAGGAAUACAUCGGAAUCUACUUUUUCGUGGGGGAUAACGUAGGGAAACUUACGCUAAUACCGCAUACGACCUACGGGUGAAAGCAGGGGAUCUUCGGACCUUGCGCGAUUGAAUGAGCCGAUGUCGGAUUAGCUAGUUGGCGGGGUAAAGGCCCACCAAGGCGACGAUCCGUAGCUGGUCUGAGAGGAUGAUCAGCCACACUGGAACUGAGACACGGUCCAGACUCCUACGGGAGGCAGCAGUGGGGAAUAUUGGACAAUGGGCGCAAGCCUGAUCCAGCCAUACCGUGUGGUUGAAGAAGGCCUUCGGGUUGUAAAGCCCUUUUGUUGGGAAAGAAAAGCAGCAGGUUAAUACCCCGCUGUUCUGACGGUACCCAAAGAAUAAGCACCGGCUAACUUCGUG